rnacentral:rRNA from 1 species
CGGAGGAUCCAAGCGUUAUCCGGAAUCAUUGGGUUUAAAGGGUCCGUAGGCGGUUUAGUAAGUCAGUGGUGAAAGCCCAUCGCUCAACCGGUGGAACGGCCAUUGAUACUGCUAGACUUGAAUUAUUAGGAAGUAACUAGAAUAUGGUAGUGUAGCGGUGAAAUGCUUAGAGAUUACAUGGAAUACCAAUUGCGAAGGCAGGUUACUACUAAUGGACUUGGACGCUGAUGGACGAAAGCGUGGGUAGCGAACAGGAUUAGAUACCCUGGUAGUCCACGCCGUAAACGAUGGAUACUAGCUGUUGGGAGCGAUCUCAGUGGCUAAGCGAAAGUGAUAAGUAUCCCACCUGGGGAGUACGUUCGCAAGAAUG